rnacentral:rRNA from 1 species
UACGGAGGAUGCGAGCGUUAUCCGGAUUUAUUGGGUUUAAAGGGUGCGGAGGCGGGCUUUUAAGUCAGCGGUAAAAAUUCGGGGCUCAACCCCGUCCGGCCGUUGAAACUGGGGGCCUUGAGUGGGCGAGAAGAAGGCGGAAUGCGUGGUGUAGCGGUGAAAUGCAUAGAUAUCACGCAGAACCCCGAUUGCGAAGGCAGCCUUCCGGCGCCCUACUGACGCUGAGGCACGAAAGUGCGGGGAUCGAACAGG